rnacentral:lncRNA from 1 species
GUGUCUAGGAAGUAACUAGCUUGUUUUUGAUUUUACAGGCUCAUAGGUAGAAGGGACUUGCAUCGUCUCAGAGACUUUGGACUUCAGGCUUUUGGGUUAAUGCAGAAAUGAGUUAAGACUUAACGGUGAUUGUUGGGAAGGCAGUACCCCAGGGAGAGGUAAUUGAAUCAUGAGGGCCGGUCUUUCCUGUGCUGUUCUCCUGAUAGUGAAUAAGUCUCGCGAGAUCUGAUGGGUUUAUCAGGGGUUUCCGCUAUUGUUUCGUCCUCAUUUUCUCUUGCUGCUACCAUGGAAGAAGCGACUUUCGCCUCCCGCCGUGAUUCUGAGGCCUUUCCAGCCAUGUCAAACUCAAAAUGUGACUGAAAAACAGAAGCAUUUGGAAUACGUAACAGAAGUCAUUAAAAAGAGCCAUGUAAUAUGUGCCUGCUUCCCCUUCUGCCAUGAUUGUAAGUUUCCUGAUGCCUUCUCAGCCAUGCAGAACUGAAUCCAUUAUUGUUUGCAUUAUCAUUGACGACUGUGAGAAUCUGCAGAAAAAAACAGUAUGGAACUACAACUUCACGUUCUUGAGAAAAGCUUGCAGUGUAAGAUGCGUUUGUUUGUGGUGCCUGAGGAAGAGAGCAGCAGAAAAGAGAGUUGGUAGUGCUGAGCUGCUGAAGGUUCAUUACUGCCUAGCCUUGAGAAUGGAGGCCCCACUGGGUACUCUUCAUAAGAGAUGCCCCAACUCGUCAAAGGAAUUAUGAGAAAAAGAAGAAAAAGAAGAGGAAGGAGGAAGAGGAGGAAAAGGAAGAGGAAAAGGAGGAAAAGGAAGAGGAGAAGGAGGAAAAAAAAUAAAAUAAAUAAAAUACUACCUAUAGUAAAGGGCAUUUCUCAAACUUGGGUCUGACCCAGAUGGCCUUAAUCUUUCCCUUAGCUUGACUAAAUAUUACACGGACUUCUUGCUGCUUCUAGAUUUCUGGACUUCCUCUCACUCUUGCCUUUAUAGAAUCUAGAUGGUCUAAAUUCUAGAUUUUAGAGAAUUUAAAAUCAGAGAGGCCCCUCUUCUCUCUCUUUUUUUUUUUUUUUUUUUUUGACAGGCUUGCUCUGUCACCCAGGCUGGAGGCUGGAGUGCAGUGGCGCGAUCUUGGCCCACUGCAAGCUCUGCCUCCUGGUUUCACGCCAUUCUCCUGCCUCAGCCUCCCAAGUAGCUGGGACUACAGGUGCCCGCCACCACGCCUGGCUAGUUUUUUGUAUUUUUAGUGGAGUUGGGGUUUCACUGUGUUAGCCAGGAUGGUCUCUGUCUCCUGACCUGGUGAUCUGCCCACCUAGGCCUCCCAAAGUGGUGGGAUUACAGGCAAGACCCACCACGACCGGCCUCCCUUUUCUUAAAAUAUUUACUUUGGAAAUCUGAUGACUACAGAUUUUUUUCCUCUGGCCCUUUGAGAAAGGGUUUUCAAAUUAAGCAAUUGACUUUUAUAGUCCAUGAAUGUCUUAGCCAAGGACCUAGGAGACAUCUCUUUGAAAUAUAAUCAUCAAUGGAGAUAGUACCUCUGUCUUCCAGUUUCUGUGGGGAGAGUUGAAGCCUAACUUCAUAUCAAGUCUAGCUCCAAAUAGUAAAACUAUCCCCUAUCAUGAUGAUACAAGAAACUUUACCUUUCACUUGAGUAAGCCCAACUAGCAAACACAGAUGGCUUAAGGUUCUUCCAACCUCAGCUCUUAAAAACUCUCCAGGCCUUUGUUUCAACAGAGCUUAAUUCAGACUGAAUUUUGCUCCUCUCCUAUAUCACAGUAGCCUUACAUAGUCUUCCUUACCUAUGUGGCUUUCCAAUGAGAUUUUUACUUUAACAAUGCAUCUCUAUCAAGAUCACCAGGAUCCUUGUCCAAAAUCUCAAUUUCUUCUGGCCCUGAUACAGACCUACAUAAGUAAAAUUCCUGUGACUUGGCAUUCUGUAUUUUUUCAUUAAAUUAUAUGGAUAAUUACAGACUGAAAACAAUUAUUAUCAGACCCCCACCCUGAUAAGCAUAUCUUCAAAUUUCUGGUUCCUAAAAUUAAGUUCCUUUCUAUAUAAAUUUAUUUUCCAAUUAUUUGUUGCUUCAAUAUAUGGUUUAAUUAGUAUUGAAAACACAAAAACACAAAUUAACAAAAAAAAUAUAUUUGAGUGCUACUUAUCUUUUAAAGCCUGGCGUCCAUGGAGCUCAUUUGCAUGGGUUUCUGUAAAAAAGUACCACAAACUGGAUGGCUUAAACAACAGAAACUUAUAGAGGCCAGAGGUCCAAGAUAAAAGUGUCAACAGGAUUGGUUCCUUCUGAGGUCUAUGAAAGAGAACAUUAUUUAUGCCCCUCUCCUAGUGUCUAGUGGUCUGUUGGCAAUCUUUGCUAUUCCUUGACUUGUUUGUAUUAGGUUGGUGCAAAAGCAAUUGCAGUUUUUGCAAUUACUUUUAAUGGCAAAAACUGCAAUUACUUUUGCACCAAUCUAAUAGACAUAUCACCUAGAAUCUGCCUUCACAUUCAAAUGAUGUUCUACUUGUGUAUGUUUGUGUUUAAAUUUCCUCUUUUUUAUAGAGACACCAGUUCUAUUGGAUUAGUGGCCCACCCUACUUCCAUAUAACCUCAUCUUAACUAAUUACAUCUGCAACUACCCUAUUUCCAAAUAAGGUCACAUUCUGAGGCCCUGGAGUUAUGACUUUAACAUAUAAAGUCAUAUAUAUUUUUGCAGGAUCCAAUUCCAACCAUAAUAGAUGCACAUCUCUAAAGAAGUACAAAGACUUCAAUCCCAUCCUGUUCCUUCUUCUUACUGUGGAAACAUGUCCCAAUCUUCAUUAGGGAGUUUGAAAAUUGCUCAAAUCAACUUUGCUGGCUUUGGGUAUAACAACAGGUUUUAUGCAUAGAGGUGAGAAGAAAAUUAGUUUUAUUUCCACAUGCUUUGUUUCAUUACUACCACCUUAAGGUCCAAAGUAGACGGAUAAGUGAUGGAGAAGAUAACAGGCCCAUGGAAUGUUUCUUAUGAGAAAAACAUGGAUAAAAGAAAACUUACAUCAUAUUUCCCAGAGGGCUGAGUAGAGCAAGGAGUGUGGUGAGCUUGAGGCAUGCCAAAGAAUAAGAGAAAAUGCUCCGAAGAAAGAAUGGGAGAAAUGAGUUUUGAUUAGCAAAGACAUGGAAUCAGCCUAAAUGCCCAUCAAUGGUAUACCAGAUAAAGAAAAUGUAUAUAUACACCAUGGAAUACUAUGCAGCCAUAAAAAAGAAUGAGAUCAUGAUAUUUGCCACAAUAUGGAUGGAGCUGGUUAUAUGCAAACUAACGUAGGAACAGAAAAACAAAUACAACAUUUCUCAUUUAUAAGUGGGAGCUAAACAUUGAGUACAUAUGGAAACAAAGAAGGGAACAACAAACACCAGGGCCUACUUGAGGGUGCAGGGUGGGAGGAGGAUUGAAAAACUACCUAUGAGACACUAUGCUUAUUACCUGAGUAAUGAAACAAUCUACACCAAGCCCCCGAGACAUACAAUUUGCCUAUGUAACAAACCUGAACAUGUAACUCUGAACCUAAAAUACAAUUUGAAAUAAAAUAAAUACAAAGGAU